UGAUUCAUAUACUUUCGUAUUUACAGAGUAAAAUUCAUAAAUUGUUGACAUGCCUAAAUGCUAAAAGGGGACUCCUGGAAGGUGUCCUACAAGGUACACUAGGAAUGGAUUAAAGAUAGUAAAACCCAAUCUCAGAAGUAUAAAACACAUAUUUUCCCUUCAGAAGAUAAUGGAAUGAGUUGAAGGGAAGAUUUUCAAAUCCAAGCACUGAAUGGACUGCCAUGCCCCAGUUUAACUAAAGUUUUAAGGAAGCAGAUAAAUAAACUCAACUCUUAC
rnacentral:lncRNA from 1 species